CACAAGCUUUGGUACGAUUCCCUCAGUAGUCAACAAAACGAUUUACCCGACCCCCCAAUAUUCUAUCCCAGAGUUUCUACAUUUCAUGACAUUUGUGCUUGUCUGGUGUUUUGAAAUCCUCAUCCUGCUGUCGCUGUUAGUGGGAGCAAAUUUAUACACCAGAAUCUCCAAGAGACGGAGAAUAAUUAAGAAUCAGGAAGCUCAGUAAACCU